GGCUAAUCCAAAAGCAGUUAUCUCAACUGACUGUUCAGAGACAGUUGCAGAUCAAUUGAACUCAUUGUUCUGCUCUUUCCCCACUUUUCACCAUUGCACUUGAGCAGUCUUUA
ensembl:misc_RNA Y_RNA Y RNA